AUCGCUUCUCGGCCUUUUGGCUAAGAUCAAGUGUAAAAAUAUUUUCUUUAUUUUGAGAGACAGAGUGAGCAGGGUAGGGGCAAAGGGAGAGAGGGAGAGAAUCUUUUUUAUUAUUUUUUUUUAUUUUAUUUUUUAUUUUUGAGAGAGAGAGAGAAGCAGAGAGAGGGAGACACAGAAUCUAAAGCAGGCUCCAGGCUCUAAGCUCUCAUUACAGAGCCCGACACGGGGCUUGAACCCAU
rnacentral:snRNA from 1 species